UUCAAUCCCAACUUUUCUGAGUCCUAGUACGCAAGGAAUGGUCUCAGCGAUGCUCGACUAUAUUGGCCCCAUCGACGUAAUCAACUUCUGGCUGCUGCAAAGAAGGAGAGACAAAAGGUUUAGGGAUUAAUAAGGUAUAUGCCCCUGUAACAAGGGGAGUACCCU
rnacentral:rRNA from 1 species